rnacentral:misc_RNA from 1 species
GAUGAAGAACGUAGCGAAAUGCGAUAAGUAAUGCGAAUUGCAGAAUUCAGCGAGUCAUCGAAUCUUUGAACGCACAUUGCGCCCCUUGGUAUUCCAUGGGGCAUGCCUGUUCGAGCGUCAUUUGUACCUUCAAGCUUUGCUUGGUGUUGGGUGUUUGUCUCGCCUUUGCGUGUAGACUCGCCUUAAAAUAAUUGGCAGCCGGCGUAUUGAUUUCGGAGCGCAGUACAUCUCGCGCUUUGCACUCAUAACGACAGCGUCCAAAAGUACAUUUUACACUCUUGACCUCGGAUCAGGUAGGGAUACCCGCUGAACUUAAGCAUAUCAAUAAGCGGAGGA